GUGGAGGGUGGCUUUGUGAAGGAUGUGGAGGUGGGAGAAGAAGAACUCUGAAGGAAAGCGGUGAGUAGAUGUCGAUGAUGUCUACUUGCUUGGCUGCUAUGGUGAUGCAUGCACCGGUGAAGCACGCGCACAUGCAAGGCUGGCCCCAUGUCUUCCUUGGCUGCGAACAUCAUCUACAGGCUAGCAGUAUGACCGGAUGCGAGGGCCUGCUCAUUGACCAGGACAAUCUAUGAGCUCCCAGCGCCUCUCAUACAAGGUGCGUUAGGGCCAACCUCUUCCGGAAGAAGGCCACACUCAUGUACCCUCUGGAUCAAAAUUGGUAUCCCUUCCUGCCUCUCCUUUUGGAUUCACAUGAUUUUGCCUCAUGGAUUGAUGGAUGUGUCUGUAAUUGUAAAG